UUUGUCACCUGCUUUCUAAAAUCACAGAGAGAGUUCCGACCAGUUUCUGAACAAGGACGAGCAGUGGAUUAAAGUUCACCGGAUUAAGGAUUUCUCACCAGAAGUCCGGGAACAUCCAUGUCCGCUUUGGAGCGGAACGUGAAGUGGGAUUUCGCCUUCUUUGUCAGCUUCAUUGAUUGUUUGAGCUCAGCCUUCAACUUGUGAACGAUUUUGCCAGUGCAGUCUUUGAAAGAUGAUGGGAUUCUUCUGUGAAGGAUAUGAUGCUUGAUAUUAUAAUAUUUCUCAUCAGCCCAGAAAACGCGGUGAUUAUUUUGCCCGUAAUACUCAUGCCAGACAACCCGAGCUUUUCCUUGUGCUAUGAAAACAAGAGACUGGACUUUAGUUUCUU